rnacentral:rRNA from 1 species
AACGAACGCUGGCGGCAUGCCUAACACAUGCAAGUCGAACGAAGCCUUCGGGCUUAGUGGCGCACGGGUGCGUAACACGUGGGAAUCUGCCCUUCGGUUCGGAAUAACAGUUAGAAAUGACUGCUAAUACCGGAUGAUGACGUAAGUCCAAAGAUUUAUCGCCGAAGGAUGAGCCCGCGUAGGAUUAGGUAGUUGGUAGGGUAAUGGCCUACCAAGCCGACGAUCCUUAGCUGGUCUGAGAGGAUGAUCAGCCACACUGGGACUGAGACACGGCCCAGACUCCUACGGGAGGCAGCAGUGGGGAAUAUUGGACAAUGGGCGAAAGCCUGAUCCAGCAAUGCCGCGUGAGUGAUGAAGGCCUUAGGGUGUAAAGCUCUUUUGCCAGGGAAGAUGAUGACUGUACCUGGAGAAUAAGCCCCGGCUAACUUCGUGCCAGCAGCCGCGGUAAAGUACAGUGU